UGCAAAGAAGAAGACAGCUCAUCACAGGCCUGAGAAUCAGGAGAGUCAAUGGUAUUAGUGCUGGUCCGGAAGCCAUCAUGCUUCAAAACCAAGAAGAGCUGAUUUUCCAGAUGGAGUCUAAAGGCCAAAAGCCCCAUGGAGGCUUGUCAGUUUUGUUCACCACUGUUUUCCUAGCAUCCAGAACAGUAGGCAUUUACAAAAUAUUUGGGUAGUGGAAUAAUAUGUACUUCUCCAGGACUCUUAAGAGAAGAAAAUGAGUGGAUUUCUUCCGUGACCAGAAAUGAGUGGCAGAUGUGUUUACAGUACUACAAUCCAAGGCAUGAUUUUGUGCUGUCCUUGGAAAGCACCAAACUAAAGAAGAUCCUAUAGAACAUAGAUGAUCCCAUCCCCAACCAUAUCGUCAAGUGACCGGCUCCUGUGUCCACGUGGCCUUACCAAAAGGCAGCUAGAGGUUCUCAGGAAUUUCCCAGAAGGGUGAGUUUCCCAAGAAGUAGAUUCUGAGACAGAGAGUUGUGUGCAGGAGUCUAUUGAGAAAACACUUGUGAGGGCAUGAGGAAGCAGGACAGCGGCAGAGUUUGGCCUGAGGAAAGGCCUUGUGAGGACAUAACCAGGAAGGAGAGUCCUCACCAGAACCUGACCAUACCGGCACCCUGAUCUCAAACUUCCAGCUUCCAGAACCAUGAGAAAUCAAUGUUUGUUGUUUUAGCCACCCAGUCUAUAGAAAUUUGUUAUAGCCACCCUAGCUGACUACCACAUUGGACAUCACAGC
rnacentral:antisense_RNA from 1 species